rnacentral:rRNA from 1 species
UUGGGGGGGUGGGAAUACAUGCAAGUCGAGCGGACAGAAGGGAGCUUGCUCCCGGAUGUUAGCGGCGGACGGGUGAGUAACACGUGGGUAACCUGCCUGUAAGACUGGGAUAACUCCGGGAAACCGGAGCUAAUACCGGAUAGUUCCUUGAACCGCAUGGUUCAAGGAUGAAAGACGGUUUCGGCUGUCACUUACAGAUGGACCCGCGGCGCAUUAGCUAGUUGGUGAGGUAACGGCUCACCAAGGCGACGAUGCGUAGCCGACCUGAGAGGGUGAUCGGCCACACUGGGACUGAGACACGGUCCAGACUCCUACGG